ACAGGAGGUAGUAGAAAUACAUUAUCACGUGCACCGAAGAGUUUAUGACAAUCACCCCAGGAAACAAAGACUGUGAAGUGUGUAAGGAUAUGUAACACAUGACCACGACGGUUGCAUGGUGAUACACGUGGAGAAAAGUCAGCCUUCUGAUGGAGUUGCUCAAGAUGAUCAAGAGCGUGUCCAUGAAUUCAAAAAUCUUUGAGAGAUAGAAAAUAUGCGACCAGAAGAAGAGAGGCCCUCUUGGAGGGGUGUUUAUAGGGUAACAAACGAUGCAGUCCACAUUAGGUGAGCGCAGAAUAAUGGAGAGGGUGCAACCGACGGCCAUGGUGAAGGAGAGAGUGAGGAGGAUAAUGUUAUGAACGGCUGUGAGAAACCUGAGGAUGCGAGGCCCAACUGAGGGGAGAGUGACAAGUGAGAGGGUGAAAGUAAGGGAGAGGUAGGAGAAGACAGUGAGGGUGAGGAAGAGUGGAGAGGCUCCUAGUGUCUGGCCUUGGUUCCAUGAAAAGUUGAGGAUAUGAGGGUUGUUCACGAGCCAGUAUUCGAGGGUCGAGAAAACUGGUUUCUUGGCUAGAUGGUUCACAACACAGUGUUUGAUUGUUUGGAAAAGGAAUUCCAUGGCAGUAGUGGCUUGCUAAUGUAGAGAUGGAAAGGGGAGUGGGGAGAGAGAAGGGUGAGAUGAGGGUUUUUGCUGUUCUUGCGAAAUGCAAGACUAAGUAAAUGUCCGCAAGGAAUAUUUAAAGCUGCGUACACUAUCUAUCUAUUUAUGUUUUUUACUAUUCUAACCAUUACCUAUUUUAAAUGUAUUUAAAAAUGUGUCCCACAAUAUAAACAAUGAAGGAACUGUAUUUUUUUUUUUUUUAUAAUAUUAUAUUAAUUUUAAAUUAAUAUCAUGAUAUUUUGUUAAUGUUCAAUUACUUACAUAUUUUUCUUAUUAUAACAUUAAGUAAAAAAAGUAAAAAAAAAUUGUUAAACUCAAUGAAAUCAUGAUCUGAAUUUGUGAAUUUUGCGGGGGUUAAGCCAUUAAACUCAAGUUGAUCCAACAUAUCAUCUUAAUAUUAAAAAAAAAAUAUAUCCUGAAAUAUUUGUAAGCGAGCCAUAUUUUUUAUUGGUCGUUCUAGAUUGCCUUCCUCAUAAAAUCAGAUCCAUUCAAGGCAACUCAUAUGCAUAAUUUUAAAUCCAUACUAGGUAGAGUUGAAUUGAGAAGUUUUAAAGUUGAAUCACUAGGCCAAAACAUUUUUUUCCUUUCCAUUUUUUUUCAUUCCAUCUUCCAAAUUUUUUUCUUACAAUUGAAUCUUUGUUUGCUUUUUUUUUUUCAAAUUGCUAUUCUUUUUAUUUGUUUUCUAUGAGGUUAUCGCGAUCUCAAACAAAUAUCUCAGUAUUUAAUUGAUGCUUAAUUUUAUGAGUGUCUAUUUUUAUUAUUAUAUCAUUAAGUAAAAAAAAAUUCAUAUAUAUAUAUAUAUAAAUCAAAGUUGUUAAACCCAAUGGAGUCCAUAAUCCUGGUCGCAGGUUUAACAGGUUAAGUCACGAACCCCGAAUCAAUUUAAUAAGUUAUUGUCUCAAUAUUAAAAUAAAAAAGAUAUCUUCUUUGAUUUUUUUAAAAAAAAAAAUCAAACCACACUUUUUAACAACCAUCCAAGUUGCUUUUGAAUCAGUUAAGUCAAUUAAUUCAUGUCAAGACAACUAUCAAAUGAGUUAAUUUUAAACUUGGGUGAGGCAAAGAGUCAGGUUGUGAGGUUUCAAGACUAACUUGUUGGGUCGGGUUUAAUAAUAAUAUCAAAUAAUUCCUUGUGGCUUAAACAUAUUUUUCACGUUUAAGAAUUUUGAUCUAACCCGCGGUGUAGAUUGAGUUAAUAAACUAGUAUUUUUUUAAAAAAACAAUAGAAGAAAACAAAACUAUUUUAAACAAAAACUUUGAGUCCUUGUAAUUUAGAAAAACAAAAGGUACUUAAUUUGUCUUUGUAGUUUUAGAAAACUAUAUAUUUAGUCCCUUUAUUUUUAAAUUAAUCUAUGACUUGUCUAUUUCAUGAUUGUUUCAAUUUAUUUUGAUAUUUUAUUUUAAGAAGUAAAAAAGGUAUAGGAUGAAAAGAUUGAUAGAAAAAAAAGCAUUUUUUACCAGAAUACUAUCAAAUAUGAUCUAAUCUUUAAAACUUGUAACUCGUUAAAUUCUAGACUUGACUACAAUCAAUAAAGUUAACUCUCAACCAAUUUCAUUUUGAGGGAUAAAAUCAUUAAAAAUAUUAAUUUAAAAAACUUGCAAAAGCAUAAAAAAAUAGUAACAAAAGAAUGAGGUUAAGAUUUGAGAAGAAAAAAAACCUAAGGAAGAUGAAAUUUGAAAAAUAAAACAAUUUUAAAAAUGAUAGAAAAAAUUAGAAAUUAAAAGAAUGAAAAUAAAAUUUGAAAGAUUAAAAUUAUAGGGUGAAAUUGAAAAAUAUUUUUAAUUUGAUAGAUUAUUUAUAGAUUAAAAAAUGGUAGGGGUGAAAUUAAGAAAAACUAUAAAAUAAUCAACCGCAAAAAAUAAAAAUAAAAAACCCAAAAAAAGGAUAAAAAUAAGAAAAUAUUAGCUUAAAAAAGAGAAAAAAAAAAAAACAAAGCAAACCCAAACGAACCUUCUAAACUUGAUUUAAUCUCUAAAACCUACAAUUUGUGAAAUCCCGAACCUCAACUUAAUCAAGAAAUUUAAUUCUUUACAAAUUUAAUUUUGAAGAAUGAAAUCAUGAAUAAAAUAUUAAUAAAAAAACUUACAAAUGAAAAAAGCAACAAAAACAAUGGAGAAAAUUUGAUAGGAAAAAAAAAUCAAGGAGGGUGAAAUUUAUAAAUAUAUAUAUAUAAGCAAUUAAAAAAUAAUUCCAAACAAAAUAAAUAACAUCUAAAAGAAUGAGGACCAAAUUUGAAAGAUAAAAUAAUUAUAGGGAGUGAAAUUAAAAAAUAUUUUUAAUUUGAUAGAUUAUUUAUAGAUUAAAAAAUAAUAAGGGAUGAAAUUGAAAAAUAUUUGUAAUUUAAUAUAUUAUUCAUAGAUUAAAAAAAUAGCAGGGGAUGACAUUGAAAAACAUUUGUAAUUUGAUAGAUUAUCUAUAUAUUUAAAAAUAAUAGGGGAUGAAACUAAAAAAAAAUUAUAAUUUGAUAGAUUUUAUAUAUAUAUAUAUAUAUAUAUAUAUAUAUAUAUAUAUAUAUUAAAAAAUGACAGGGGUGAAUUGGAGAACACUUGUAAUUUCAUAGCUUAUUCUAAAAUAAAAAAUAAUAAUCAAAAGGAUGGGGACCAAAUGUGAAGGAAAAUAAAGUUUUAAAAAAAUAGGGAAGUUGCUACCUUUUUUCAUGCUUUAACUUGUUUUAGAUGACAAAGGAAAUUUAGUAGUGUGUAAUACAGACAUGAGCGCUACUAAUUCUUCUAGCAGCGUUUCUAAUGACCAUGAGUCGUUAGGUGCUAACAAUGAACAGGGACCUAGGGCAUAGGCACCCUUUCUCGAUGCAGGCUUGUUAAGUGCAAUGUCACCUCACAGACAGGGGGUCCAUUCUGAGUAGGAAGUAUAUUGCCUAGUAUAAACCUAACCUUUCAAUGUAAGUUUGUUUUUCUUACUUGCACGAUUAAACAAUAAAAAAUAGUAAAUAAUUUGUGAAAAAAUAGUUUUAAUUAACGAAUAGAAUUUCAAGUUUACAAAUGUAGAGGCUGUUCUAAUAAUAACAUUGGCGAUGAGAUCAUCAAUGAAAGUAUCAUUGUUUCAAUGCAGACAGGAUUUCAAAAAUCUUGAAUGGAAACUAUGAUUGAUGCAUGUUUCUGAAAGUUUCAAGUUAGUAUAUAUUGAAACUUUUUUAUUAUGUUAAUUCAGUUAGUUAGUUUUUUUAAUUUCAAUGAACUAGUUUUUUUACAAAUUUGACGUGCAAGGAAAAAUUUUACUAGGAUCCAUUCUAUUUGUUUUACAUGCGAAGCGGAUGGUAAGAUUCUUUUUUAUUAUAUUUAUUUAUUUUAAUUGUUAUUUUAUAUGAAAAUAUUUAACUAACAGUAGUUUCUUUUUAUAGGCUACCCACUCUUAGACGCAAACCAAGACUCGUGAAGCUUUCUAUAGAAACUCACAUGAGAGAUUAUUACCAUCGAAAAGGCAUGGAUAGUCGAACUCGGAAGUUCAUGGUAAAUUGGAUUUCGAUAAUUUUAUUAUUAUUUUUUAAAAUUAGCUUACUAGCUUUUUUUUCAGGAAAUACAAACUACUCGAUUGUAGGAGAGAUACGAGGAUAAUCCUUCGACCCAUCUAAAACUCGAUAUGGACUUGUGAUUGGAGGAAGGAUCAUCUGAUGGACCUGAUAAAUCAAAUUUAUGGUAUUUCAAACACGACGACUGAGGAUUUGCAGACAGGUCAUAAUGUAUCAAUUAUUGAAUGCUUGCUACAGGUUUUGAGCACUCAAUCUCCAAAGUUUUAGACAAUUCUACAACAAGUUCAAGCUUAGACGACCCGCCUUGUUGCUGAAACAAAACAAAUUAGUGCUAAGACGAUCGAAUUUAGGUGAUUGCACAUGCAACUGUUGUCAACAUCGGUGGUACAUUGGUUCACCUCAUUGCCCUCCUGGUCCCGUCGAAUACCCUCCUCCUCUUUUAGCCCUUCUCCUCUAGAUGACUUGUGUUCAAAUUGAUAAUUUAUUUGAAUUUUUCUAAUUUAUUUAUUUGAAUUUUUAAAUUAAAAAAAAAAAAAAAACAACUUACUGGCGGAUUAAGUUCGUCGGAAAGUUCUAGAGAGUUAAAAAAAUUACAUGAAAUGCCAUAUAUCAUUGCAGAUAGAAUCUAGACAAAAAAAAAUCCCUCAAAGUGUUACAAAAAGUUGAAAUAAAAUUACAGAAAAUGUCACUGACAAUAUGUACAUCACCGAUAAGUUAAUUCCAAUAAAAUAUAAAUCAUUGAUGAAACUAUAAAUUAGUGAUAAAAUUACCAACAUAAUAUAAAUAAUCAAUAUAAUUUUUUUUGACAAAAAGUAACAUUUAUAAUUCUAUGGGUAAAAUUAUUUUGUGCAUUUAAGUUGCUAUACAUGUUAUUUAUUUGUGCUUGGAAUCUGAGUAGCUGCUUGGAAUAGUGUAUCUCUUUAUUAUUAUGUGGGCUCCACUCUCCUUCUGUCAUGGAAGCUAUCAUGAUAUCAAAAGGCUGCUGGAAAGAACUUGGCAGGUUAGUUCGAGCAUUCACUGAGCAUAGUUAUUACCCGAACAUUCAAAUUAAAAUUUUUUAAAAAAAUAAAAUAACACUGUUUCUAAUAAAAAUCUAAAACAAUUCUUUUAAAAUUAAUGAAAUUAAAUUUUAUUUCCAAUGGUUUCAUAACCAAUCAUGGACUUGGAGUCACGAUUAAUGAAGGACAAAUCAAUGGCGCAAAGCCUGCUAAUCAUUUCCAAUGGCAUCAUAACCUGCGGGUACCAGUGGUGGAUGCUGCAAUGGUUCCAAGUGAUUUGAUGAAGACCGCCGUGGAUUAUUUAUGUUACAGCAUCUAGCCGGUGGUGGCGGCCAUGGUUUGCUAAGUUUCCUUCUCCGUCUAUCAGCUGAAGAAUUGCUAGCAUUCAACCUCCUAUUUCUCAACUUAAGAAUUGUUUCGCAGUGGGCUGGUUUGCAAUGAAUUCGAUCUUUUUUAUGGCCUGCUCUUCAUGUAUCCCAGUGUAGAUCACCAAAGAACAAUGGCUGAAUGCUUUGCGUGAUUGUGUUUUUGCUCAGCAGAGCAGUUUGUUGCAUCAACCAUUGUUCUUUGGUGAUCUACACUUGGAUGCAUGGUUUGGUUCUGCAUGUUAACAGUUCUAGUAUUGACGUAUCGGGGCUGUUCUUGAUUUUAGAAAUGAGAAGAAAAAAAUUAAAAAAUUCAUUAAAUUGAGAAAAUAAAAAAAAAAUAACUGAAAAAAUCAAACUAUAAAAAAAAAAAUCGAUUAAACUGAUUAAAAUAUUUUAAAAAAUAUUCGGUUCAAUUUGAUUUUAAUUUCAUAAGCUUGAAACCAAAAAAUCAAAUCGAAUCAAAAAAAAAAAAAAUUCAGCCGAAAAAAACUGAAACAAAGCCAAUUUGAAAGUCCAUAAAAAAAAAACUCAAAAAACAAUAUAGUUUUUGUUUUUACUAUAAAAUAAUCAAACCAUAUUAAAACCGAACAGAACCAAAACUAGUCGGUUAAAUUUUAGUUGUUAAUAUAAAAUAAUCUAACUGAAACCGAUCAGUUUGAAUCAGUUUCAGUUCGGGUUUUUUUUUUUUUUUUUGUAUUUUGCAAAAUGUUGAUUUUGUUGUUUUUAUAGAAAAAAACCAAACCAAACCGAAAAAUAAUCACCUCAACUUGAUCCUUCCCUCUUGCCUCCAUCUAAUCCUCUGCACCAUCUCUCAUAGUGCACUGAGCUUCGUUAUUGGCCGACAUGGAGCGUCCCAGUAGACUUUGAUUUCUUGAAGUUUUGCCCCCUAGAGGUGCUGUUAAGGUUAAUGCCGAUGUUUUUUUCUCUUGCUGCUAGAGGAAUGGUAUCAGCUGGUGGCCUGAUUCGAGAUGAUGCGGCCGUGUGGACGGAAUUUGCUUACAAUAUUGGCUGCUGUUCGUCCUCGUGACUCCACUUUGUGGUAUCUGCGUAGGUUGAGUUUAGCUUGUUCCUUGAAAGCCUUUCCUCGCGUUCUGUAUCAUCUCCUGUUCUAUAUCAUGAGCCUAAUGAUCACAGGAGUGUAAAUCCCAGGACCAUCAAUGGAGUGCAAAUCCUGAGCCCUGUCAGAUACCCAAGAACUGGUGGUGGUCUUGGUUUGGCUUGCUUGGUUUCUUUCACCAUCUAUUUUCUUAAGAAUUGCAAGCAUUUAACCCAGAAACUCAUGAUGCUUAAGCUGUAUCUAUCAGCAUAAGAAAGAGAUGAACAUAAAAGAUUAAAGAAAAUGUCUCAUCCGAAUCUAUGAAAAAUGACAGAAACAUAUCUUUUUUUUUUAUCCCCUCCCCAAUGUUUCUAGCCUGUAUAGUUAGUUAUAACUUAAACAUAGUAGGAUUUCUCACAUUCAACCUUCUAAUUCUCAACUUCAUAAUCAUAGAAGUAUUAGGAGGGAUCUCCAUUAUUAAAAAUCAAUACUCAUCAGCAUCAUCCUCGUAUAACCAAAAAACAUUAACAAAAGGGAAGCUCACAAUGUAAGGAAUAGCAAAGAUUCAAAUUAAAAGCAAAAGCAAAGGCAAUCAUGUAUGAUUAAUAAGUAAAUCAUAGCCCUUUAUCUUUAUGAGCAGCUGCCUUUUUGUUGGCAUAGCUCCUGCCAUGGAAAAUCAAGAAAAAGAGCCAAGAGUGAAGCAUUGAAAACAGCAUUGAAGCACCAACCCCAGAUUCCAGAGCAACCUGUUCCUGUAAAAUGGUAGUACAACAUCAAGCCCGAUAUGGCAAAGCUAAAAACAAACUGCACAAUCUGGCAAUCAGUGACGAGUCUUUUCCACUUUGGCCUCACACCCAUUGCACUCCACAGGUAGUAGUAGUACAUUACCACAUGUACCAAAGAAUUGGUGAUUAAGGCCACUGGAAACAAUGACUGUGAAGUCAUCAGCCACAGGUAGCACAUGACCACCACCGUUGCGUGGUGGUAGACGUGGAGGAAUGUGAGGCGUUGGAUCGAAUUGCUCAAGAUGAUCAGAAGAGUGUCGACAAAUUCAAGAAUCUUGGAGAGGUAGAAUAUGUAGGCCCAGAAAAAGAGAGGCCCGGAUUGAGGGGUGUGGGGAGGGAAGCAAAUGAUGUGGUGGAAGUGAGGGCGGGCGGUGGGGGAGAUGAUGGAGAGGGUGCAGCCGAGGGCCAUGAUGAAGGAGAGAAGGAAGAGGACGAAGCUGUGGAGGGCUGUGAUUGGUUUGAGGAUGUGAGGUCUUCGGAGGGAAGAAGGGAGAGGGAUUCGGGCGAGAAGGAAUGUGAGGAAGAGGUAGGCGGCAACUGUGAGGGCGAGGAACUGGUAGGAGGAGCCAAAGGUUUGGCCUGGGGUCCAGGAAAAGUGCAGGAUUUUUGGGUGGUUCACUAGCCAGUACUGAAGGGUAGAAAGUAUUGGGUUCAUCUUGAGGAUGCUCACGCGCCGCCUGCAGUGGUGUGGGUGGGCGACGGAGAUGGGAACGGGAAGAGUCUAGGUUUGUGGAAGUGGAAGGUGCGUGAUGGUUUCGGACGAAGGCUUAUCUUUUAGAUGUUGAC
rnacentral:lncRNA from 1 species